rnacentral:rRNA from 1 species
GACGAACCGAGCGAACGUUGUUCGGAAUCACUGGGCUUAAAGGGCGCGUAGGCGGGUGCUCAAGUCCGGGGUGAAAUCCCACAGCUCAACUGUGGAAUUGCCUCGGAUACUGGGUGUCUCGGAGGGUGGUAGGGGUAUGCGGAACUAUCGGUGGAGCGGUGAAAUGCGUUGAUAUCGAUAGGAACUCCGGUGGCGAAGGCGGCAUACUGGACCACUUCUGACGCUGAGGCGCGAAAGCCAGGGGAGCAAACGGG